rnacentral:rRNA from 1 species
AAUCAACGCUGGCGGCGUGCCUCAGACAUGCAAGUCGAACGAGAAGGCUCCUUCGGGAGCCGGAAAGUGGCGCACGGGUGAGUAACACGUGGGUAAUUUGCCUUCGGGUGGGGAACGAACAGCCGGAAACGGGCUGCUAAUACCGCAUAAUGCAGCGGCACCUAAUGGUGACAGCUGUUAAAGCGGGGAUCGCAAGACCUCGCGCCUGAAGAGAAGCCUGCGGCAGAUUAGGUAGUUGGUGAGGUAAUGGCUCACCAAGCCUGCGAUCUGUAGCCGGCCUGAGAGGGCGGUCGGCCACACUGACACUGGACGAACGGGUCAGACUCCUACGGGAGGCAGCAGUCGGGAAUUUUGGGCAAUGGGCGNAAGGCCUGACCCAGCAACGCCGCGUGAAGGA